UACAGAGGUCUCAAGCGUUGUUCGGAUUCGUUGGGCGUAAAGGGUGCGUAGGCGGCGCGGUAAGUCGGGUGUGAAAUCUCGGAGCUUAACUCCGAAACUGCAUUCGAUACUGCCGUGCUUGAGGACUGGAGAGGAGACUGGAAUUUACGGUGUAGCGGUGAAAUGCGUAGAUAUCGUAAGGAAGACCAGUGGCGAAGGCGGGUCUCUGGACAGUUCCUGACGCUGAGGCACGAAGGCCAGGGGAGCAAACGGG
rnacentral:rRNA from 1 species